UGGUGACAGCCCUGGUCACACUUGACAGAGGGUUAUCGGUAUGAUUAGCUUGUCAAACUUUGGACGUCACAAGAAGAGCUGCCUAGUCAUUAAGAUAGAAAAAAGUCGGCCGGAAGAAAACUCGGAGUCUUAGAAAAAGACAUUACCAAGAAAAAUCAGUCGAAAGAAGAGCCAAAGAGUUCGGCAGAAAAGCUGUCGGUAGAACAGACAUCAAUAAAUUUGCAUCUCGUUGAAAAAAAGUUUCAGCAGCUAUCAAAGAUGAGCUUAGUCGCUGUGCAUGUGGCGGACGGGGAUUUCGAAUGCUCCUGCGACGACAUCGUCCGCGCCAUUAUGACUGGAAGAGCCAAGCUGCUCCUAAUCGCCAAGUCGACUCCCACCUGGCUGAGCGCCCAGCUUAUGCAUCUCGCAGAUAUAUGGCACUGCCCCCAUAUGAGCUACGCCCACAGUCUGAUUAAGAUCCUCAAUAGCCAUGGCAUCGUGGUCCGGACCCGUUACAUUGUCUUCACUGAUGCCAAGGCUGCCUCCGAUAUUCUGACUCUGGCAUCUUAAUAAACUAUAAUAAUAAUUAGUUUA